rnacentral:rRNA from 1 species
GGGGAAUUUUGGACAAUGGGCGCAAGCCUGAUCCAGCAAUGCCGCGUGCAGGAUGAAGGCCUUCGGGUUGUAAACUGCUUUUGUACGGAGCGAAAAGGUCUCUUCUAAUACAGGAGGCCCAUGACGGUACCGUAAGAAUAAGCACCGGCUAACUACGUGCCAGCAGCCGCGGUAAUACGUAGGGUGCAAGCGUUAAUCGGAAUUACUGGGCGUAAAGCGUGCGCAGGCGGUGUUGGAAGACAGAGGUGAAAUCCCCGGGCGCAACCUGGGAACUGCCUUUGUGACUGCAACGCUAGAGUACGGCAGAGGGGGAUGGAAUUCCGCGUGUAGCAGUGAAAUGCGUAGAUAUGCGGAGGAACACCGAUGGCGAAGGCAAUCCCCUGGGCCUGUACUGACGCUCAUGCACGAAAGCGUGGGGAGCAAAC